AAAUUUUGAAAGUACCAAUUUUUUUUUGUUUGAUGCGAAACUUAAUUAUUUACAGGUAUUUUUUUUUAUAGAAUCAAUAAAAAAGCAAAUAGGCAUUACUAUUUAUUUUUUGGCAAAUCAAAAUCUUUAGUGACAGGAAGUUCAUGUCUGCAAAUUCACUAAUUCUAAAAGUUUAUAAAGUAUUUUGGAUGAGUGACAUUUAAGGUAAAAGAUUAUUACAUCUGUCCAACAACAUCUGUGGAGUAGUCCAAGUUGUCUGUACACUUUUGCCAAGAUCAUCUAACCGUUAGCAUCAAAUCCAUGCAAUCAACCACAAAGAUUAACAAGACAAGAUUUCAUACUUUGGCGGCAUAGCCACCCUGGGCCCAAAGUCGAUAUUGACCAGCCUCAUUUUCAAAAUUAUGGGCCACAUUCGUGCGGAGCAGGAGGAAUAGGCUGCAGCAGAAGGU